rnacentral:tRNA from 1 species
GGAGAGUUAGCCUAAUGGUAAGGCACUGGUCUUGAAAACCAGCGUGUCGAGUUAGUAGCUCGGCUUAGGAGUUCGAGUCUCCUACUCUCCUCCA